rnacentral:piRNA from 1 species
GGAAAUGGUGAUAAAAUCUGACAGA